CUGCAAUCCAUCAUGGUGGGAGGAUUUACACAGAAACUCCCAAAUACUACAAAGAAAGGACUAGUGCUGAUAGAUGUGAACACCCACCUGGCUCCAGGUCAGGCUGGCCAGGAAUACGUGAGCGCUACGAUUUAGUGACUGCCUAUUCUUGCAAGGGACAGACAGCCCAGCGGUGGAGACGCACCCCAAGCUUGACCCCAUUCCUUUACUAAAAGUAAAAUUUUAGAAAACAGACUGAGAGGCCUUCUCCAACAGGUUAACAGUAAUUAUUUGUCUGGAUCAUGGGAUGGUGGAGGAUUUUUCUCUUCUUCC
rnacentral:lncRNA from 1 species